GUGGGGAAUAUUGGACAAUGGGCGAAAGCCUGAUCCAGCCAUGCCGCGUGAGUGAUGAAGGCCUUAGGGUUGUAAAGCUCUUUCAGUAGGGAAGAUAAUGACGGUACCUACAGAAGAAGCCCCGGCUAACUUCGUGCCAGCAGCCGCGGUAAUACGAAGGGGGCUAGCGUUGUUCGGAUUUACUGGGCGUAAAGCGCACGUAGGCGGAUUGGUCAGUUAGAGGUGAAAUCCUGGAGCUCAACUCCAUAACUGCCUUUAAUACUGCCAGUUUAGAGUGCAGAAGAGGGGAGUGGAACUCCUAGGGUAGAGGUGGAAUUCGUAGAUAUUAGGAAGAACACCAGUGGCGAAGGCGGCUCACUGGUCUGGUACUGACGCUGAGGUGCGAAAGCGUGGGGAGCAAACAGGAUUAGAUACCCGUGUAGUCC
rnacentral:rRNA from 1 species